rnacentral:rRNA from 1 species
UACGUAGGGGGCAAGCGUUGUCCGGAUUUAUUGGGCGUAAAGAGCGUGUAGGCGGUUUGGUAGGUCCGCUGUGAAAACUCGAGGCUCAACCUCGAGACGUCGGUGGAAACCGUUUGGCUAGAGUCCGGAAGAGGAGAGUGGAAUUCCCGGUGUAGCGGUGAAAUGCGCAGAUAUCGGGAAGAACACCCGUGGCGAAGGCGGCUCUCUGGGACGGUACUGACGCUG